rnacentral:rRNA from 1 species
CUGGGGANUAGAUACCCCACUAUGCUCAACCUUAAAAUGGAUAUUCCCGCCAGAGCAUUACGAGCUACAGCUUAAAACUCAAAGGACUUGGCGGUGCUCUAUACCCACCUAGAGGAGCCUGUUCUAUAAUCGACAUCCCCCGAUAAACCUCACCAUUUCUCGCCACUACAGCCUAUAUACCACCGCCCUCAGUUCAUCUUUCAAAAGAAUAAUAAUGAACAAAAUGAUUAAAAAUAAAAAAGUCAGGUCAAGGUGUAGCAAAUGAAAUGGAAAGAAAUGGGCUACAUUUUUUAUAAUUAAAAAACACGGAAUAUUAUAUGAAAUAAAAUAUAAAGGAGGAUUUAGAAGUAAAAAGAAAAAAGAGUGUUCUUUUUAAAUUGGCAAUAGAGCACGCACACACCGCCCGUCACCCUUUUCAAAACAUAUAAAACUUAAAUAAAUAUAUAAACUUAUAAGAAAAGGUAAGUCGUAACAUGGUAAGUCUACCGGAAGGUGGCCUUGGAUAUCAAAAUAUAGCUUAAAUAAAGCACUUUGCUUACACCAAAAAAAUAUUUGCUAAGCCAAAUUAUUUUGAAUCUUAAAUCUAGCCUAAAUAUAUAUAUACACUAAUUCCUAAUACACAAAACAUUAUCAUAUGAUAGUAAGGGCGACAGAAAAAAU